CUUGUGUAUAAAUGUAAGGGUAAUACUGCUUUGAAUUAAACUUCUAAAGAAUAAAAGUUCUAAAGUGCAAGAAAAACGAUGGUUACGAAAUGUGUUAGAAAACAUACGGUGGUAAUUAUGGAAUUGCUUAUCCUUUUUGUCCUUGACGUGCAAGCCAAUAACAUUCCCCCUACCUCAUUCUCUUCAUCUUUACCUCCCACCAUGCUUCCGUAUUCCUUUGAAUUUGAUGAGGCCAAAGGUACAAUGCAAAAAUGCCUUACAGAUAGAGCUAAAGGUUGUUUACGUUAUAGAAGAAUAUGGCCAUUUCCUAACAUUAAAUACGAAAUUUGUGUUCUUGAUACUUUUUGGAAAUGCUUCUUUCAUAUGAGAGUUUUUGAGGAGCGAAUUACAGGUAAUAGAAUUUUGAAUUGUGUCAAUACCAAUUGCUACUCGCGAAUGAGAAUGAUACACAUUCAUGCAAGAUCCCGUUUUAUGAGUUGUGUAUUGGAAUGUUGUGAAGAGAAUAUGGAGAGGCACUGAGAUGCAAUUUAUAUGCAAAAUCCUUAAGUUGCAACUGUUGAUCUGAUGGUGUUGGGGAUCAAGGGAAUUAGGCAACUUGAGCUUUUGGUCCAGGCAGAUGGUCAAGUUAGUAGUAAGGAAUAAAUCAUGAAAAUUUAAUGUAUUGUUUGGCUAUGAAAUUAUCUUAUAGUUAUAUUUUUGUUGAAAUUCUAAAUUGGAUCAAGGUGCAUGCAAACCUUAUUACUUUUACAUUUUGAAGUUAUAAUUUGUGAUGAAUUUUGCUAUGGUUAAUUUAUAUGGUACUUUGUUUCCUUUGCACAAUAAACAUGUAAGAUCACUUGCUUAUCCCUCAUGGGAUCCGAGUGUGAGAAUUCCAUA